CACGAUCAGUUUAAGCCGCACUGCUUCCUCUGCGGGAAACCGUCAUUGUUUUCGUUCCAGCUGUACAGCAGCUUUUACACCCCAAAGGGCUUUCUUCGACUCACGCGGUGUCGCUACCUCAGGGCUUCCCCCAUUGCGUAAAAUUCCCCA
rnacentral:rRNA from 1 species